rnacentral:rRNA from 1 species
UGUGAAAGUAGUAGUUGUGAUACAACUUCUAACGGUGGAUCUCUUGGCUCGUGCAUCGAUGAAGAACGCAGCCAGCUGCGAUAAGUAGUGUGAAUUGCAGAACUCAGCGAA